rnacentral:rRNA from 1 species
AGCGAACGCUGGCGGCAGGCCUAACACAUGCAAGUCGAACGAACCUUUCGGGGUUAGUGGCGGACGGGUGAGUAACACGUGGGAACGUGCCUUUAGGUUCGGAAUAACUCAGGGAAACUUGUGCUAAUACCGAAUGUGCCCUUCGGGGGAAAGAUUAAUCGCCUUUAGAGCGGCCCGCGUCUGAUUAGCUAGUUGGUUGAGGUAAUGGCUCACCAAGGCGACGAUCAGUAGCUGGUCUGAGAGGAUGAUCAGCCACAUUGGGACUGAGACACGGCCCAAACUCCUACGGGAGGCAGCAGUGGGGAAUCUUGCGCAAUGGGCGAAAGCCUGACGCAGCCAUGCCGGGUGAAUGAUGAAGGUCUUAGGAUUGUAAAAUUCUUUCACCGGGGACGAUAAUGACGGUACCCGGAGAAGAAGCCCCGGCUAACUUCGUG